GGAUUAGUUUGUUCAUUGACUCUUCCGAUAUUAUGUUGGGGCCAUUUCCCUUAAAGUGAAGAGAAUUAAAGAACAAAGUACUGAAGAAAUUCUUCCGAAGUCACAGAGCAGAUCAUUGAAGGAUGCACCUCAAGAUUCUUCUAUUUAAUCAAAGUAGACAAUAUGCCUCAUCAGAUUUUGUAAUGUAAUAUUUUAUUCUCUAUUUUUUACCUUUCUCCAAGUCCUAAAAUAACUUUCCUUCCAAAGAGGUGAAAGCAUUAUGGACAGAAGUAUGAACUUGUGAUAUUUAAGAGAAUAAAGUUGUUUAUUAAAGCCAGAAUGGAAAAGGGAAGCAAAAAGGCAUUAAAAUGAAGUUGAGGAGAUACGGCAACAAGAGUCAAGCCUGAUGAUUUAAUUUCUAAGAAGAGUUUGCAGUCUCCACCAGCAAGAUUAAUUUCCAUUCUGCCCUUCCUUAACUUUCUGAGUACAGCAUUGCCGCAGAAAUGAAAAGAUGGCCUCCAGCAGCCACAGAGUGCCAUCUUAAAAUCUGCCAUGGAAGCACAGCUGUCACAUGCUAUCCUUGGACUAGUCGUUACUGUCUGGGACAGAAGAUGUUUUCAUGGGCAUGGCCACAGAGCAUCUCCAGAAAUGCAUAUCAGGAAAUCUACCUCCUGCUGGCAACCAUAGUGAACAUUUUGCCUGUGUUCAGCUUUUCAAACCUGGCAUUGUUUCACCCAUUUCAUCAUCUGGGAAACAGAACCACGGAAAGUAAAGCAGUUGACUCAGCAUCCUGAAGCAAGAAAGUAGAGCUGAGCACCAGAGCUACAUCUGUCAGCUACCAGGUCUGUUCCCUACCUGGGGUCCUUAAUAUAAUUAACUGGGUUAUCUGAGAACGAAGCAGAGGAAGAGAGAGAGCGAGCAUGAGUGAACACACUCCCCGUGCCUGCAACAAGAUGAAGCUGAGCGCCUGGAACCCAACCCAGAUCCUACACUGGGGUGGCAGGAGCCCGAUUACUUAAGCCAUCAUCUGCUUCCCAGAGGCUGUGUCAACAGGAGGCUGGAAUCAGGAGCCAGAGCCUGGAAUCAAACCCAGGUAUUCUGAAUUGGGAAGUCCCUGCGAGGCCAGAUGCCCACCCACAAGGCCUACUCUUUGGGUGCUGCAGGGAGCCAUCUCUGAGGAAGGAAAGGUGGUUUAUCCGGAAUGAGGUAGCAGGAAAUCUAGAUCUUGGUGGAAAAGAGAAAUUUCACAUGCUGCCCCCCUACUGCAGCAUUCAAAGGUACUCAGAAAUUGGAAUCAAAACAGAGUUUAGUGCAAAAAAGUUUUGAAAUCCAUGCAUAUGACAGAUCCUCACAAAGUUCAUGGAAAGUGAGUAUUAUGAGAAAAUUAUGUGUGGAUUUCACAAAUGUUUCUGUAGAACAAACUUAUCUUUUAAUUCCAUGUUUCCACAAACUUUUUGAAACUCUCUCAUAUCUACUUGUCCUUCAUUUGGUGACCACAUAGGAACUGUUGCUAAUGCUCUGAAUUAUGGCACUUAUUAGCAUUUUUAAACAAGAGAUCUUUUAAAAACAUUUUUAGUUUUAUUUGAAAGGCAGAGUUACGCACAAAGGAAGAGAGAGGUCUUCCAUCUGCUGAUUCACUUUGCAAAUGCCUGCAAUGGCCUGGCCCAACCCCGUCCAAAGUCAUAAACCUGGAACUCCAUCUGGGUUUCUUACAUGGGAGGCAGGGGCCCAAACACUCAGGCCAUCUUUUGCUGUUUUCCAGGCCGUUAGCAAGGAACUGGAUCAGAAGUGGAGCACUUGGUGUUCAUAUGAGAUACUGGCAUCACAGGCAGCAGCUUAAUACACUGCACUCCAAAGCUGUCCCCACUUAUCAGCAUUUUUUGUGUUCCUUUAGGGAUAAAUUUACUGCUUGAAAUAUGUUUUAAAAAAAUUACAUAGUAAGGGUUGGGCAUAUGGAGUGGUGGUUAAGACAUUGCUAAGGCUCUCACAUCCCAUGUUGGAUUGCCUGUGUUGGAAUCUUUCCUUGGUUUUCAGUCCUCACCCAAGCUGAAGUAAUUGAGUCCCUCCCACCCAUGUGGGAGACCUGUACUAGUAGACUGCUUCCUGCAAUUGGUGAGUGAACCAGCAGAUGAAGAUCUCUUUUCUGCCUUUCAAAUAAAUAAAUUAAAAAAAAUUUUACAAGUACGUAGUAAAACUGCAGAACUUUGCUAUCCAUAAAAUAAUGUGAAUAGUACUUGUCAGCAAAGUACAUCUUGUAGGCCCAGCACUGUGGCACAGUGGGUAAAGCCACUGCCUGCAACGUUGGCAUCCCGUAUGGGUGUGGAUUCAUCUCCUAGACUGCUUCACUUUCAAUCCAGCUCCCUGGUAAUAGCCUGUAAAAAGCAGGGGAAGACUGCUGAAGUGUUUGGGCCCCUGACACCCACAUAGAAUUCCUGGAAGAAACACCUGGCUCCUGGCUUCAGCUUGGCUCAGCCCUGGCUGUUGUGGCCAUUUGGGGAGUGAAUAAAUGA